GGACCGGUUAGCUCAGUCAGUUGAGCAUGGCACCAGCAAGGCUAAGGUGGCAGGUUCGAUUCCCGUUUGGUCCC
rnacentral:tRNA from 1 species